AUUUGACCUCAAAUCAGGUAGGACUACCCGCUAAC
rnacentral:rRNA from 1 species